rnacentral:rRNA from 1 species
UACAGAGGUCUCAAGCGUUGUUCGGAUUCAUUGGGCGUAAAGGGUGCGUAGGCGGCGCGGUAAGUCGGGUGUGAAAUCUUGGAGCUUAACUCCGAAACUGCAUUCGAUACUGCCGUGCUUGAGGACUGGAGAGGAGACUGGAAUUUACGGUGUAGCAGUGAAAUGCGUAGAGAUCGUAAGGAAGACCAGUGGCGAAGGCGGGUCUCUGGGCCGAAAUUGACGCUGAGGAGCGAAAGCGUGGGGAGCGAACAGG